ACAUCAGGUCAGAUGCAAAGAAAUAGUUCUUGCCUUUUCUCUUCAUUGAUUGAAAAAAAAAGAAGUGUAUAUAAAAAGGAUGUUUUUAUAAUAGUUUUCAACUUUAGUAUUUGACACCUUCUUUAGCUGACCAAAAAGGUGUAUGUGUGGAAUCAAUUUAUCUGUGUAGUAAUACCAAAAUUUGAAAUCUGGCAUUUGAUGAGUCAGUCAGGGAGAAAAUGGAAACACAUUGUGAGAGGUAACAAUAUUAUACUGUUUAUUUUUUUUUAAUUGUUACUGUCUUUAACAUGUCUUAUUUACUUACUCUUAACAAAUACUCAAAUUUGAAACAACAUUUACAAAUCUGCUUGGAAUUAAAAUCGAACCAAUCUCCUUUUAGGAAGUUUGGCCGAUGGAUUAUUAAUCCAAGAUAUAUUUUCUAGAAUAUAGCUCAAUUAUGUUUAUAACACUGCUGGUAAAAUUGUAUCAUUGUAAUUAUUUACAGUGUUGAUUAGCACUUAGGAUACAAUAUGCACUUUAAACUUUUCAUACCAGGAACCUUCUGUGAAAAAAUGCGACUUUGUGACAUGAUCUGCCUGCCUGGCUGUAUAUACCAAAGCAGCAUACAGCUUAUUACUGCAUAAAAGAAACAUAUCAAGAUAAUUCUGAAUCAGAUUGUGUGCUGGAAAAAUGGCUUUACAUCCGAAGGAGUGAAAUUUGGAGAGUCAUUUGCCAUCUACUUAAGCCAUCCUGGAAUAUGAAAAAAUAAGACUGCAUUGACAGCAUCCUAAUCCCCGUGCUCAUAUCUUUUGUGAUUUCUUGUGAAGGGUCUUUGAUUUUUGCAUAAAAAUAAAAAAUAUAUUAAUAUAA